rnacentral:tRNA from 1 species
AUCUUUCUAGUAUUAGUUUAGUAUGCGUGACUUCCAAUCACUCGGGCUUGGUUAAACUCCAAGGAAAGAUA